rnacentral:misc_RNA from 1 species
GAUGAAGAACGUAGCGAAAUGGGAUAAGUAAUGUGAAUUGCAGAAUUCAGUGAAUCAUCGAAUCUUUGAACGCACAUUGCGCCCGCUAGUAUUCUGGCGGGCAUGCCUGUCCGAGCGUCAUUUCAACCCUCAAGCCCCCGGGCUUGGUGUUGGGGAUCGGCGAGCCUCCGCGCCCGCCGUCCCCUAAAUCUAGUGGCGGUCUCGCUGUAGCUUCCUCUGCGUAGUAGCACACCUCGCACUGGGAAACAGCGCGGCCACGCCGUUAAACCCCCAACUUCUGAACGUUUGACCUCGGAUCAGGCAGGAAUACCCGCUGAACUUAAGCAUAUCAAUAAGCGGAGGA